AUUGAACGCUGGCGGCAUGCCUUACACAUGCAAGUCGAACGGCAGCGCGGGCUUCGGCCUGGCGGCGAGUGGCGAACGGGUGAGUAAUAUAUCGGAACGUGCCCUAGAGUGGGGGAUAACGUAGCGAAAGUUACGCUAAUACCGCAUACGAUCUAUGGAUGAAAGUGGGGGACCGUAAGGCCUCACGCUCCUGGAGCGGCCGAUAUCUGAUUAGCUAGUUGGUAGGGUAAAAGCCUACCAAGGCGACGAUCAGUAGCUGGUCUGAGAGGACGCCCAGCCACACUGGGACUGAGACACGGCCCAGACUCCUACGGGAGGCAGCAGUGGGGAAUUUUGGACAAUGGGGGCAACCCUGAUCCAGCAAUGCCGCGUGUGUGAAGAAGGCCUUCGGGUUGUAAAGCACUUUUGUCAGGAACGAAACGGUGGGGGCUAAUAUCCUCUGCUAAUGACGGUACCUGAAGAAUGAGCACCGGCUAACUACGUGCCAGCAGCCGCCGUAA
rnacentral:rRNA from 1 species